AGUGAACGCUGGCGGUAGGCCUAACACAUGCAAGUCGAACGGCAGCACAGUAAGAGCUUGCUCUUACGGGUGGCGAGUGGCGGACGGGUGAGGAAUACAUCGGAAUCUACUUUUUCGUGGGGGAUAACGUAGGGAAACUUACGCGAAUACCGCAUACUACCUACGGGUGAAAGCAGGGGAUCUUCGGACCUUUCGCGAUUGAAUGAGCCGAUGUCGGAUUAGCUAGUUGGCGGGGUAAAGGCCCACCAAGGCGACGAUCCGUAGCUGGUCUGAGGGGAUGAUCAGCCACACUGGAACUGAGACACGGUCCAGACUCCUACGGGAGGCAGCAGUGGGGAAUAUUGGACAAUGGGCGCAAGCCUGAUCCAGCCAUACCGCGUGGGUGAAGAAGGCCUUCGGGUUGUAAAGCCCUUUUGUUGGGAAAGAAAAGCAGCAGGUUAAUACCCCGCUGUUCUGACGGUACCCAAAGAAUAAGCACCGGCUAACUUCGUG
rnacentral:rRNA from 1 species